CCACGCUGCCCAGGUCUUGAACUCCUGGGCUCAAGCAAUCCACCUGCAUCGGCCUCCCAAAGUGCUAGGAUUACAAGAGUGAGCCACCACGCCCAGCCUUCAAAACAUUAUCAUCACCCAAAACAGAAACUCUGUACCAUUAAACAGUAAUUCCACACCCCCCUCCAAUAUUACCACAUUUUUAUGAUGAGGAAAACGGAGGCACAGAGAGGCUCGGUAAAACAAUCAAUGUUACACAGCUAGCUAAGCAUAGGGGUCAGGACUCAGACUAGGCUAUUUGGCUCCAGAGCUUGCUUUCUGAAUCACUGUCUUACAUUUUUUUUCUUUUCUUUUUUUUUUUUCAGACAGAGUCUCACUCUGUCCCCUAGGCUGGAGUGCAAGACUCCGUCUCUAGAGAAAAAAAGAAAACCAGACAGAUUAAAAAGUUGCACUUACAAAGCAGUUGGGGCAUUUAUUGACAUUUAAACAAGGGAGGAGAUCCUGAACACUAGUCUCGCUCAGUUUAUAAAAACUUGAGGCCAAACUCUCCAUCAUCUGUACACAGCUUAACCACGGCCAGGAGCAAGAAUUCGAGUUAAACGAAUUGAACCAGUCCAACCACAAGACGAUAAAGGGAAACAGGGCGUGGGGAUUUCCAGUUUUUCCUUUUACAUUACAAAGUUUCCAACACAAGAAGCCAACAAUACCCCAGUGCUGCACCAAGUUACUUCCCACUGUUUCCCAAGGCACAGUCAAUUAAUAAUCAGUAGUCCAAGUUCUAAGAACAUUCCCUGGAAAACAAGGACGCACCUCCCGUGGCUCUAUGCAUGGCCUGCCACUGAUGAAUCAAAUUCUUAAGAACCUACGACCGUCUGAUACCCUUGAGGAGAGCACCCUCAUAGAAUCUCCAGCAUCAGGCCUCAGUUUUCCCAUCUGUAAAAGACAGCCAUGCAAAGUGGGAGAUCCGCUAGGCUUCCAGAUCGAAGUCAUCGCGCUCCUCAUUGUACUCUAGCACGUGCCGCUUGAUCUUGGACGAGUCCACCCAAGUGACAAAGUCCUCCAUGCUGCGCGUGACAAGGAAGGCGGGGUCGGUAACCACGUCAGGGCCCACGCGUACGUGCCCUUGCUCCACAAAGGCCACGGCAGCCUGAAGGUGCUGCGCCAUGCGCAGCUUGAGGAGCACGGUGGGGAGGCGGCGGCGGCAGAAGGACGAGGCCGUGACGAAGUCGCAGAGCUCCAGCGAACCGCGCGUGGGCACCAAGCCGAGAGCAUACAGCUUGUCCAGCAGCGCGGCCGAAGCGCGCACGCGGAACUGGUCGCGUUCGGGCAGGUCGCGCAGGCGCCGCGCCAGCUCACGCACGGCACGGCUCAGCUGGUUGUAGCGCGUGUAGUCCUCCCGCCGCUGCAGCCGGUAACGCCGCAGCACGCGCAGCUCGUGCAGGUUGUGGUCGGUGACCUCCCAGUUCAGGAAGUCCACCUGCUUCAGCAGCUUCUGCUCGUGGAACUUAAGCUUCCGCACCAUGAUGGCGGCAGCCGCAGCCGCAGGACCCGAAGCUGAGAGCGCGUUCUGGCAUCCGCGCGAUUUCCGCCGCGGCGCCCCAAGACCUGGACGGCCUGGGACCCUGGGCCAAUGAAAGAAAGACUUAAAGUCACGCCCUCACUUCCCAUUGGCCAGGGUGGGACCACGCCUCUGCACUGGGAUCUCGCGUUUCUUCUUUUCUUCGCGUUUGCGAGGGAGGGGGUAGAAGCACCGGAGGUGGGUGGUUGGGAGCGGGUCCCUAGGCGGUUCCGCGCGGUUUUUAGUAGCCAAGACUGUAUCCCUUUCUGCGGCAAUCAUUUCCUCCUAGACUUCUGUCCUUUGGGGACUUUCAGAGUCUCCCCCGCAAGAGCUGAAGAGGCCAUUUCUGGGGAAGAGGGGUGACUGCGGCUUGUUGAUUGGGUUUACUGUGCUAACUUGCACUGGGCUCCUGCCAUGCCUUGGGGGAGCUUGCCGGAGCCGGCUCUCCUGGGGCUGACCUGGUAGUCCCCGCCGCCCGCCAGCGUCAGGUCCUUCACCUGGCAUGCAGAGCGAUCUCUCAUUGUCAAGUUGGGAUAGGUGGCACCGAACCCAUGAAAUACUGAUUGGCUGCUUCCUAGGCCCACAGAAAAGGGAUCUAUAAGGGAGUCGCCUGGAAAUCUGUAUUAUUAACUAAAGUGUCAGAUGAUUCAUAAAACCCAGCAAGUUUGA
rnacentral:lncRNA from 1 species